AGCGAACGCUGGCGGCAGGCCUAACACAUGCAAGUCGAACGAACCUUUCGGGGUUAGUGGCGGACGGGUGAGUAACACGUGGGAACGUGCCUUUAGGUUCGGAAUAACUCAGGGAAACUUGUGCUAAUACCGAAUGUGCCCUUCGGGGGAAAGAUUAAUCGCCUUUAGAGCGGCCCGCGUCUGAUUAGCUAGUUGGUUGAGGUAAUGGCUCACCAAGGCGACGAUCAGUAGCUGGUCUGAGAGGAUGAUCAGCCACAUUGGGACUGAGACACGGCCCAAACUCCUACGGGAGGCAGCAGUGGGGAAUCUUGCGCAAUGGGCGAAAGCCCGACGCAGCCAUGCCGCGUGAAUGAUGAAGGUCUUAGGAUUGUAAAAUUCUUUCACCGGGGACGAUAAUGACGGUACCCGGAGAAGAAGCCCCGGCUAACUUCGUG
rnacentral:rRNA from 1 species